AUGGAACAGGUGUUGGCUAUGGUCCCAUGGUUCCUUUGGAUAUAUAAAGAACCUGCAUUACCCUGUGUAACACACAACAAAAUGGACAACGUAACCAUUAAUGUGUUAGACAGCAAAGGCAAUGUUGUCAUGCUAACGGUUUCCAAGGACAUCGCUGAAAGGAUGCAAAAAAAUCAAAUGUUCCUUUCCUCUGUCAUGGAGAAAGUAUCAGCUGUUGAAACAAAAGCUCUCCUCAGUGGCCCAGCUUGUGCUGCAAAGCUUCUCCAACCUCCUAUUCCAUGUCCCACUACCUCCACUAGGUCGCCGACACCCCUAAACCUCAGUUUUGUGAAACCACCAUCCACCAGCCAGUGCCCCAUUACUACCACUAGGCCCCCUGUACUACUUACCUCCACUGUCAAGGACCCACCACCUUCCACUCUGCAACCUGGUGCAGUGUGUGGAAACCCUUCAGCAUCCAUUCAACCUUCAUUCCCUUCCUUCCAGUCAGACAGGCAUGAAUCUCAAGAAAUAACACAUACAAUGACACUAUUUCUACUGGACCUUACAAAAACUCAUCAGCACCUUUAUUUUCGGAACAAAAUGGCAUUCUAUAAAAAAAUACAAAACUUAUUCUCACUAAAGGGCUACAACUUGUCAAGUGAGAAAAUUCGAAAAAAAACUAGCAAACAUGUUAACUACUUAUAA
ensembl:lncRNA